GACCGCGCCGCUGACGCCUGCUCGCGCACCCGYGCGCCGGGCCUGGAGGGGCUGCCGCUGAGAACCCUUUGGCAGAGAGGAAAUGUCUGCGUGCGCGAGGGCCCGGCAACCUGCAAGUGUCUUCCGGCCCGGGUGGAGGGUGGUGUUGAGGUGCUUGGUGAGAGGGGCUGGGGCGAUUAGGCUUGGGAGGGCGCGACUGUGAAAGGAAAAGAAAGCCGCAAAACACAAAGCGCCUGUUCAGCCUCGGGCGUGUUCCUCUCCAGCUAGAUCCUCGCCACGUCCUCACCAGGUCAGGAUUAACGUGAAAAAUGAAGCUGAGCCAGGCCGUGCGAUUUAGCUGAACUCAGCUGUUAAGCGGCUGAAUCAGAAGUUGACCCCAGGCCAGGAAGUCUUGCUUCCAGGGUUGUUGCUGCCGGGCCAGAGGCGGCUUGGGGUCACUCGCAGCUAACUGAUUUGAGACCUUUAAAGCUGGCAGCAAAAGCGUUUGCCCAUCCAUCCACCCAUGCAUUCAUUCCUUCGCUCAUUAGUCUACUCCUUCAUCCAAAUGUUUGUUAAGCACCAACUGUAUGCCAGGCACUGUGCUAGGUGCUGGAGAUGAACCCUCGAAGAACCAAGUCCCGGCUUUCAGGGGCUUAGACUCUAGUCGAAGACAAAGAGCAAGUAAACAAGUGGGACACUAUAACUACGACUGGCCAGGGAAUAGACCAGUGAAGGAGCAGCAGGAAAUCUCCAGGAAGAGCCUCCUAAGGUGGUCACAUUUCAACAGAGACCCAACUGAUGCAAAGGAGGUAAAACUGCAAGUACAAAGGUCCUGGGGACAUAUAUAUUUGCAAAUAAGUGAUAAUUUAAUGAGCAACUCCUUUAUGAGCCCUUAUAUGGAUGUGAAAACUGAGGCUGAGAAACUUCAACUGGCUCAAGGUCGUACUGCUGAUCCCCAGCAGAGGAAGGACCAGCACUCAGGACAGAGGAAGCCGGAAGCCCUCACCCAGAAGAUCCCACUCAUCACCUUUCUCGACAGCAGUUUCUGCCAAGCAUCUCCACUGGUCCCACUCAGGGCAAGUGCCGUUUCUCCCCUGGGUAGCCUCGGCAGCCUGUGUUCUGACCCUAGUCUAGUCACCAUAAGGCAGCCAGAGUCGACUCAAAAUGCCCUCAGCUAAAGCCUUCAAGUGGCUCCCCAUUCCCUCUGGACAACAUAGAUGGUACAAGCUGAAAGACCAUAGGUUAUCUCCAGGGAGGACACCUGUCACACUGAAGGGGUCUAUUGCAUUCCCUCCAGGAUAAUGGAAACGGGGUCUGUCCUGGACUUUGGGUCAUUGUAAAGGGUCAGUAGCAAGUAGAAGCAUGUGGGCAAGCUAGGAUGGAUGGCUGCCCUCCCUGCAAGGAUGUACCCAUAACGGACUAAGAUGGGGCCCGUGAAGUGUCCAGGGCAGAGAAUUUAAGGAGGUUUCCACUCGGGUCCUAACUGCACUUGUGAGGCCGACUGAGGGCCUGCUUGCUUCCCCCCAGCCUGGCUCUCUUCAGGGAGCACAACCUUUUCAGAGCCCUCUCUCCGCAGGGCCUUUGCCUGUAUUCUCAGAUCUAGGAUCACCUCUUCAGGAAAGCUUUCCUUGGUUCCUCCAAAUGGGUCAGCUUCAGCUACAAUCGGCUCCCAAAAUGCCAGGUGUUCCUCCUUUUUCAGCCACACACAAUGCAACCUGACGUUUUAUGUAGCACAGGAUACAGAUUUGAUUGGGGGAGCACAUUAAAUAUGUGUCCUGGACUUUGGGUCACUGUAAAACAUCAGCAGCAAGUGGAAACAUUUGGGCUGCAGAGGUAGGCGCCCCUCUGAAGGGAAAUCUUCUAGGUUCACGUCUUUCUUUACCACGUACUUCACUGCACGACUUUCCGGGCGGCAGUUUCUCUUUGAACGGGAGAGGAAAGUAUCGACCCACAGGGUCGCUGUCCAGAAAAUACUUUGAGAAAACCCCUUGGCACAGGGAGAAGCAAGGGACGCGAGAAAAAAAAAAAAAUGGCAUUUAUCAAGCCAUUAUAUCCUGCUUUCACUAGCUCCCAGCUGGAUGCAGCCACCCCUUGGGACAGCCCCAUUGCAAAGAUGAGCCGACGGAGACCCAGAGCCUACGGGUGGAGGAAUGAGGAUUCAAGCACAAGUCCCUUUCCACGAUGCUCAGAAGAUCCACCAGGCGGGUCCUUGUUGGUCUCUUGCUGCGGUGCCUCAGAGCCUGGCCCACRUCAGCCGCAAAUGAACCUGUGCCAGAUGGCCUCCUGGACUGGGGUCAGUCCUCGUGACUCUGCCAUGAUCUACAGGGAAGGCUGCCGAGUSGGGUCCCUUCCCCAAGCGUCUGGAGCCUGUCAACACUGAUUCAUGGCCUCAGGUGACAGCCCCCAUCCUGAGGCCAGGGCUGGGGGAGCUGGGAUGGGCCAGGUGAGCCCCCACCUGGCCCCCAGGGACAGCGGGCAGCCAGGUUAAGCAGGCUCCUGCCUGUUAUAAAUAUAUACGUACAUCCAACAUGGCGUUAAAAUAUCACUCCGCGUUACAGAGAAGGUAUUAAGGCUUUCUAUUAUUUACAUUAAACAAGCAAGCACCUUUAAAAAAAAAAAACCAGAACAAAAAGCCCC